GAAAACUCUCAAACAAAUUGAAAGAGAGAACAUUUCAAGUUGUGAUCUCUUUGAUCAGCCACUCUAAAGCAGGAUAGGCAAAGUACAAUACUAGGAAAGAUGGGAGUCCAAAGAGGAUUGUGAUCAGUAAGUAGAGCGCUAGGACGGCUGCACACGAAGGUAUUGCAAACAUAACAAGCAGAAGAAGCACGAGAACUAACGGAAACUUGGAUGUAAUGCGGAUAAAGAGAUCGAGGGACUUGUGAAGAGAAGAGUGGGCCCUCUGGGAUGCAGGUGUACCACUAGUAUGAUUAUAAGUACUGGUGCUUGAUCCUUGAGAUCCUAGACGACGAACCCUCCUAUAAUUCAUGACAGAGGUGUUGUUCCCCGUAACUGAAGUGCACCGGACGGACAUUUCUUGCUGAUGAUCCCUACAUAUGGUAGAUGAAGAUUUCCCCCUGUCACCAUUUUUGCUUUCCACCAUCCAGAGGAGGAAGAAAUUCUUGCUAGGAGAUUUGAGAUUCCCGCUCAAGGACAACCGAAAUGUCAGCAUAUUGCACCAUGGGCAGGAAAUGAAUAAUGGAAUCUGGACCUGUUGAGUGGAGAACUUCCAAGAAGCUGAUUUAAGCCCCAACAGACAGUGCUUGCAAAGUGUGUGGCCGCACCACAAGACAUAGGGGAUGUUUUCGACAAUGUUAAAAGACUCCCAGCAUAUAGGGCAUUCAAGCCCUUCUUCCUCGCUGCUGGCAUUAGAAUAGGCAUCAUCGUCAUCUGAGAAUUCACGGCAAGCUUGACUGGGCGCACCACAUUCCUUCUUCUGUCCAAAGCUUGUGAUGGCAUUUGAAAUAGAUCUCCACAUAUCAGGGGCAACUUAAAUCGCUAUUGCUGAUAAUUACUUGAGUUUGGAACUUGGCAUGUACUUGAAAGAUGAACCACUGACCUUCAAAGGAGCAUCUUGGUUCAAUCUUAAAAAUUUCUUGCUUCUCUUCUGAACCUGAAUUACAUUGUACAGAAGGAUGGAAAAAGAAAAGAGAGAUCAGAAGAGAAAUGCAUUCUCU
rnacentral:misc_RNA from 1 species